rnacentral:tRNA from 1 species
GUGCCUGUAGCUCAGCGGUUAGAGCGCCAGCCACAUAUACUGGUUGGCGGGUUCGAAUCCGGCCCAGGCCU